rnacentral:rRNA from 1 species
CAAUCCUACGGGAGGCAGCAGUGGGGAAUAUUGCACAAUGGGGGAAACCCUGAUGCAGCGACGCCGCGUGCGGGAUGGAGGCCUUCGGGUUGUAAACCGCUUUUGUUCAAGGGCAAGGCACGGUCUUUGGCCGUGUUGAGUGGAUUGUUCGAAUAAGCACCGGCUAACUACGUGCCAGCAGCCGCGGUAAUACGUAGGGUGCAAGCGUUAUCCGGAUUUAUUGGGCGUAAAGGGCUAGUAGGCGGUUCGUCGCGUCCGGUGGGAAAGUCCAUCGCUUAACGGUGGAUCCGCGCCGGGUACGGGCG